ensembl:lncRNA
CUCAGCUUAGAGAUGGAAGCACAAUAUUUGCCUCCUCAUUUCCGAAAUCUAGGUCCACUCUGUCAGGCAUGAAGUACAACAGCAACAGGUCCUACAGUUUAGGCCAAACGCCUUUCUGGCCUAGCAACACUCCAGCUUCCAUUAAACUGCCCAAAAGCUGAUGCUCUCAAAACGCCUUCUCCUUCCUGGGAGCUGCACAGAGCCCACGGCCCRAUGCUGGCUACCUUGCAGCCCUAUCUGGCGGCACAAGAGGAAGCGCUGGCACUGAGCCUGCCUUCCAGCCGCAUGACUGAGGUUACUGGAGCAACAUCCCGGAGGGAGGGAGCUGUGGGAGGAAGCGGGGCUGUAAAGAAAGAAAACCACAAUUCAGCUGCCUGUGAGAGGAGAGAGAAAGAGAGRGGCUGGCUGGAAAGGACAGCUUUGCUGAGCCCUGAAGAAAAUGGUUUGAGUAAUUCUCAACGCCUGCCAGUAUGUGGCAAGGAAGAUUGGGAGCGUGUGCAGCCGGGGAAACGAGGAGCCACCAACGCACCCCAGGCAGGCAGCGCAGCACAGCCAGAACCAGAGUAAGUCCGCAUCUCGCUGGGGACACUACGAGGGCUGCAGGGUGGGGACCAGCACACUCAGGCUCCUGCAAAUAUGACAGGGACUUACGGGCUCAGCCUGGCCUUGGACUCCAGAAACCAGCGUGCACCUUGUACUGCUGC